rfam:Nicotiana sylvestris Nsyl_contig116086, whole genome shotgun sequence.
UGGACAAAUUAUUGUAUUCGACUGUAUUCACGGCGUGAAACAGGGGAUUACACUGUUUUAAAAUGGAAAGUGAAUCAAUUAACAUAAUAAACUCCU